AGCAAAACAAAAAUGAGAUGACAAAUCAUUUUGUGUGUCGUUAUCAAAUUGUAGCUUAAGAAUCAUGCAUUUAAUUUAAUUAAAAAAUGAUAUGUGUCGCCGUUGGCGGUAAUUGUUUUAGCUACCGACCUUGAUUGGUGCUCAAGAGUGGAAUGGUAAAUGUAGAUGCUGACGAACAAUCGAGUUAUUAGUUGGAAGUACCUGGGGAGACAUUCCAUUCAAAAAGGUAGCAAGUGCCGAUGUAAUGAUAACCUUGCUUUGAAAACAAAUUGGAAGCAGAGCUAAGGAUAAGCGUACAAGUGAUGUACUGCAUUAGGGGCAAGCGGAAAUAUUCGCGGUUGAUAGCCUUGUUUGGAGCCCUCAUAUUGACUACCAAACGGAAAUCAUCUUUGCCUUUUGCAACUGCGGACAUUCCGCUUAUCCAGCUGGGCGCCGAUGUAACCUUUUCGAUAAUUCCACGCUUUUCCAUUUCUUCUAAUCUCGCUCUUGCAGCUUCACGAUAGGCCGCAGGCACGUUAUAGUAAGCGUUCUUGACUGGAGGUACUGUAUUAUCAACACUGAAUUUCACUUUGACUUUCGGCAUUUUUGGGAAUUUCUCCGCCUUCAGAGGAAUUUCCAUAUUAUUAAGAUUUAGCCCUACUUGUAGUAGUCCCAUGUCGCUCGCCGUGGAUCGACCGAGGAGCGAUCUCAGCCCUCUUGGAACAACAUGGAAGAUCGCGCUAUCUAGUGAUUUGCACCCUGGCACUAUAACUUCCGCUUCCACUAGGCAUUCCACAAUCAUGGGUGAUGGUGAGCCGUAUGCAUGCAAACCUUACGGAUCCAGUCCUCCCCACCGAUGACGUUGACAUAUGCGCCCGAAUCGACCAGGAACUGGAUAGGGCUAGAUGAUCCUAACUGGCAGUUGACCAGUACGUCUGCUAGAGAGAGUGUGCACACAGUCUACAAUAGGAGAGACGGAAAUUUUUGUGUGAAAUGCAAAAUAAAAAUAUGUUUACGAGAUGUAUUUCGAACAAAAAUAUUACAGCAAACAAAAUAAAAUCUUGUUAUACCUGAUUAUCGUCUAAUUCAUUUUCUCUCUUAGAAGGCUCAUCCUUCGUCGUUCCAAGUUGCCGUAUAAUUGUUUUACGACACGCGACUGCGUAGUGUCCAAACUCUUGA